CCUGUGCCUGAAACUGCAGGAUUCUGGGUUACAGAUGGAAGGGAGUUCCUAAUAUAGCUACUACUUUUGUAGGAAGUAAAGUCAAAGUUCUGUGAGGUUGUAAAAGACGCAUUGACACUAGACCAGACACUUGGAUUUUCACAGAUCCAGCCAUACUUGCUUGCUUUGACAGUGGUGAACCUUAUAAGCAAUUUGCAAGGCAGCUGGCAGGGAAUUGUAAAUCCAACCUGGAGUCUUUAAUUUUGUCAAGAACACCUGAGGAAAAGGGGUGCCUUACUUACUCAAAUGCUGUGAGUGAUCAUUGAGACUGAUGCCCAGGAAUCCUUUCUGACUUCAUAGCCAUUGGCGAUAUUGCCCACCGAAGUCAAGAGAAAUUUGUUCCCAGCAUCCCACAUCACAACCCAGCAUGCAUUUUCCAAUGGAAAGCAGCCCUUCAGUAGGGCCUACAUAAUGGUAUGGAUGUAUAGUUGAAAAAGAGCCAUCAGCAUCAUGGUUCAGGUUCUGUUGAAUUCCAGCUUCUGGAAGUUCCCUGUGCCUUCUUUUUUUCUGUGUCCAAUUU